GUGCAGCCAAUUAAGCCAACCUCUCUGCCACAGGGGACCUAAUGAGCAAUGGCUGCAUACAUCAAGCAAUCUCCUCCAUAGUGUAUUCAGCCUGUGGCUUGUGUGAGCUAUUCUGAAGGACCUUGGAGACAGUU